rnacentral:rRNA from 1 species
AGCGAACGCUGGCGGCAGGCCUAACACAUGCAAGUCGAGCGGCCGUAGCAAUACGGCAGCGGCAGACGGGAGAGUAGCACGUGGGAACGUACCUUUCAGUUCGGAACAACCCAGGGAAACGUUGGGCGUAAUACCGGAUACGCCCGUAAGGGGAAGAGUUAUCGCUGAAAGAUCGGCCCGCGUCUGAUUAGCUAGUUGGUGAGGUAACGGCUCACCAAGGCGACGAUCAGUAGCNGGUCUGAGAGGAUGAUCAGCCUCAUUGGGACUGAGACACGGCCCAAACUCCUACGGGAGGCAGCAGCGGGAAUAUUGGACAAUGGCGGCAAGCCUGAUCCAGCCAUGCCGCGUGGGU